GAUGAACGCUGGCGGCGUGCUUAACACAUGCAAGUCGAACGGAGAAAGGGUAGCUUGCUAUCUUUUCUUAGUGGCGGACGGGUGAGUAACGCGUGGGUAACCUGCCCUUUGCAGGGGGAUAACAGUGAGAAAUCACUGCUAAUACCGCAUACCAACUUCUUUCGCAUGAAGGAAGUUUGAAAGAUCUAUCGGCAAAGGAUGGACCCGCGUUGGAUUAGCUAGUUGGUGAGAUAACAGCCCACCAAGGCAACGAUCCAUAGCCGGCCUGAGAGGGUGAACGGCCACACUGGGACUGAGACACGGCCCAGACUCCUACGGGAGGCAGCAGUGGGGAAUAUUGCACAAUGGGCGAAAGCCUGAUGCAGCGACGCCGCGUGAAGGAUGAAGGUCUUCGGAUUGUAAACUUCUAUCAGCAGGGAAGAAAGGGCUUAUAGCCUAUGACGGUACCUGACUAAGAAGCCCCGGCUAACUACGUGCCAGCAGCCGCGGUAAAGAGU
rnacentral:rRNA from 1 species